AGGAUCCGAGCGUUAUCCGGAUUUAUUGGGUUUAAAGGGAGCGUAGGUGGACUGGUAAGUCAGUUGUGAAAGUUUGCGGCUCAACCGUAAAAUUGCAGUUGAUACUGUCAGUCUUGAGUACAGUAGAGGUGGGCGGAAUUCGUGGUGUAGCGGUGAAAUGCUUAGAUAUCACGAAGAACUCCGAUUGCGAAGGCAGCUCACUGGACUGCAACUGACACUGAUGCUCGAAAGUGUGGGUAGCA
rnacentral:rRNA from 1 species